rnacentral:rRNA from 1 species
AACGCUGGGCGGCGUGCCUAACACAUGCAAGUCGAACGGAGAGCAUAUGAAGUAUUCGGUACGGAAUGCGUUCUAGUGGCGAACGGGUGAGUAACACGUGGGCAACCUGCCCCAGACUGGGGGAUAACAUUGUGAAAACAGUGCUAAUACCGCAUGACAGGGUUCCGGGCAUCCGGGACUCUUGAAAGGAGAAAUCCGGUCAGGGAUGGGCCCGCGUCCAAUUAGCUAGUUGGUGGGGUAACGGCCCACCAAGGCGACGAUUGGUAGCCGAACUGAGAGGUUGAUCGGCCACAUUGGGACUGAGACACGGCCCAGACUCCUACGGGAGGCAGCAGUGGGGAAUAUUGGGCAAUGGGCGAAAGCCUGAACCCCAGCGACGCCGCGUGAAGGAUGAAGGUCUUCGGAUUGUAAACUUCUUUGAUCAGGGAAGAAAGAAAUGACGGUACCUGAAAAACAAGCCACGGCUAACUACGUGCCAGCCGCUGC